rnacentral:misc_RNA from 1 species
GUAGGUGAACCUGCGGAAGGAUCAUUAACACGUUCUAUACGUAUUAUCAACCAACAGCGAACUGUAGCUCCCUAGUUAAUUAAGUAUCGUCAUUUUAUGAGUAGUCUGGUUUUGGUGAGGUUGGCAUCCACGCAAGUGGACAGCUUAAGCCAUCGUUUGUUUACAAAUGAAGGUCAGACACACUGGGCGAAAGUAAGUCGAUUCUCGGUUUCGAUCGAGGAUACGGGCGGUGAAUUAUUCUCUAGGCUUA